rnacentral:rRNA from 1 species
UACGGAGGGGGCUAGCGUUGUUCGGAAUUACUGGGCGUAAAGCGCACGUAGGCGGCUUUGCAAGUCAGAGGUGAAAGCCCGGGGCUCAACCCCGGAAUUGCCUUUGAGACUGCAUCGCUAGAAUUGUGGAGAGGUAAGUGGAAUUCCGAGUGUAGAGGUGAAAUUCGUAGAUAUUCGGAAGAACACCAGUGGCGAAGGCGACUUACUGGACACAUAUUGACGCUGAGGUGCGAAAGCUAGGGGAGCAAACAGG